UGGGGAAUAUUGGACAAUGGGCGAAAGCCUGAUCCAGCCAUGCCGCGUGUGUGAAGAAGGCCUUUUGGUUGUAAAGCACUUUAAGCGAGGAGGAGGCUACUUGGAUUAAUACUCUAGGAUAGUGGACGUUACUCGCAGAAUAAGCACCGGCUAACUCUGUGCCAGCAGCCGCGGUAAUACAGAGGGUGCGAGCGUUAAUCGGAUUUACUGGGCGUAAAGCGUGCGUAGGCGGCUUCUUAAGUCGGAUGUGAAAUCCCUGAGCUUAACUUAGGAAUUGCAGUCGAUACUGGGAAGCUAGAGUAUGGGGGAGGAUGGUAGAAUUCCAGGUGUAGCGGUGAAAUGCGUAGAGAUCUGGAGGAAUACCGAUGGCGAAGGCAGCCAUCUGGCCUAAUACUGACGCUGAGGUACGAAAGCAUGGGGAGCAAACAGG
rnacentral:rRNA from 1 species